GUCGCCUCCGGCCUCUCCGAGCGGGAUGGUGACACCAGGACCCGGCCUGCAGGACCUCGCUGGCGGCGGUGAGUGGGGCCACCCCGGCCCUGCGGGACCCUGAGCUCCGGCCCGAGCUGGUCGCGCCCCAGAACGGCCCCAGCGGCUGCGCGGGGUACAAGCUGGGCUCCGGGUCCCGGCAGCCAUGCCCUUGUCUCCCUCCCGGGCAUGGAGCCGGGGCCCGGCGGGGCGGCGAAGCGCGGCGAGGGACCGGGACCGGGAGCGGGAGCGGCAGCACCGAGCCCAGCUCCAGCCGCAGUCGUUCUUCAGCUCCAGCUCUGUCACAUCUCAGCCGCAGCCCCACAGCAGUGAUUUCAGCUCCAACCCUGCCAUCCUGAUUUCAUCUCCCACCCUACAGUAGCUAUUGAACCCCAGGAUUUCCACUCCAGGCCUGUGCUGUUUCCCCUCCCACCCACCCACUCUUCAUUUCACCCCCCCCAGCCUCACAGACUUUCUUACGGCUCCAGCUCUGCGUUGUUUCAGCUCCAGCCCUGCAGUGUUUAGCUCAGCCUCAGCUCUACAUCUUCCUGCUGCCUCCGUGUUCUCACAGCAGCUCUGGGGGCUGUUGAUAAGGUAGUAAGUCAAUCACUGUCAUCACUCAACUAUCAAAACUGUCCCACUGUGUCUGUCCCCUGAAUAAAGUGUUCCUGUUGUGUGUGUCCCCAUUUCA